UGGUAGUCCACGCUGUAAACGAUGUCGAUUUGGAGGUUGUGCCCUUGAGGCGUGGCUUCCGGAGCUAACGCGUUAAAUCGACCGCCUGGGGAGUACGGCCGCAAGGUUAAAACUCAAAUGAAUUGACGGGGGCCCGCACAAGCGGUGGAGCAUGUGGUUUAAUUCGAUGCAACGCGAAGAACCUUACCUACUCUUGACAUCCAGAGAACUUAGCAGAGAUGCUUUGGUGCCUUCGGGAACUCUGAGACAGGUGCUGCAUGGCUGUCGUCAGCUCGUGUUGUGAAAUGUUGGGUUAAGUCCCGCAACGAGCGCAACCCUUAUCCUUUGUUGCCAGCGGUUCGGCCGGGAACUCAAAGGAGACUGCCAGUGAUAAACUGGAGGAAGGUGGGGAUGACGUCAAGUCAUCAUGGCCCUUACGAGUAGGGCUACACACGUGCUACAAUGGCAUAUACAAAGAGAAGCGACCUCGCGAGAGCAAGCGGACCUCAUAAAGUAUGUCGUAGUCCGGAUUGGAGUCUGCAACUCGACUCCAUGAAGUCGGAAUCGCUAGUAAUCGUAGAUCAGAAUGCUACGGUGAAUACGUUCCCGGGCCUUGUACACACCGCCCGUCACACCAUGGGAGUGGGUUGCAAAAGAAGUAGGUAGCUUAACCUUCGGGAGGGCGCUUACCACUUUGUGAUUCAUGACUGGG
rnacentral:rRNA from 1 species